GCCUUCGUAGUGUAAUGGUAAGCACACUCGGCCCGUAUUCGAGAAUUGGCCCAGGUUCGAGUCCCUGCGAGGCA
rnacentral:tRNA from 1 species